GACCAGUCCCAGCUCUUUUGCCAGGGCACACGUUUCCAAGGGCAUGGGCCAGCCACUGGACAGGCCCUCUUCGGGUGAGCGAUGGCAAAAUAUAGGGUCCCUCCUAAGAACAGUCAUUAGGAGAGCAGCAGCUGUGAGGGCUGAUUAGCCUAGAAGGGAACAUUGGAUUUGGCAGCCAAUCCUCUAGCACGACAGAAUUAACACAAAAUAAGCUGGGUUCCAAUUACUCCUUAAAACUCCUGGAUUUCACCUCCAAUUUAGUGGCACACAGCAGGCAUCCGAUAACAGAUGCUGGCCAUAGGUGCCUAAGGGAGCCGGACCAGGACAUGUACAGCAGGAUGAGGAAGAGGAGCACCACGAAGGCAGCCAGGCUCACCCAGAAUGCGAUCACGAUGGAAUCUGUGGGAGGAGGAGAUGCAUCUCAGCGCUGGGUUGAUGUCGACAUAAAGCAACACUGAGGGGCAGUAAGGAGUCCCAGGAGAAGCAGAGGAACAGACUGUCUCAUUGAACCAGCGUGACAGCGGAGGUCAAUAUGGACUAUGACCAGUUCUUCUUAACCCAUAACUAAAAGGAAGGAGAUAUAUUGACCUGAGAGGCUCCAAAGAACUGGCCAGCUGAGAGAAAGCUGAAUUCAUCAGCAAGGAAGUCCACAAAGGCAGUCACCUGCUUUCUGCGAUGUGACCUCUGUCCACCCUCACCUGACUCAUGCUCAUUUCACCCCACCCCUGAAGCCAUGGAACAGCAUCCCUGAGACUGCCUGACAGAUUUUUGCUUUUGCCUGUUUUAGAUUUUUUUUUUUCAGUAAACUCAUCUGAAUUCAAAUACUGAGAACAAAAGUACACAGAACAGCUUCACUUAACACACAACAGUGGAAGAAGUUUUACUCUCCCCAAGGCCAUUGUUUACCAUAACAAAAUCCUGGAAACAUUCUGUAUGUUCAGAGUAAAUUUCUAUAACACCGUACAAAGUUUCUGUGAAAGAAUAGUUAAUGACAUGAGAAAACAAAAUAUUAUGAGGUCAAUAUGAACAGAGUAC